rnacentral:rRNA from 1 species
AACGUAGGAGACAAACGUUAUCCGGAGUUACUGGGCGUAAAGGGCGUGCAGGCGGUCGACUAAGUCUGGCGUGAAAGCUCUCGGCUAAACCGGGAGAGGUCGUUGGAUACUGGUUGACUAGAGGACGGUAGAGGCGUGUGGAAUUCCGGGUGUAGUGGUGAAAUGCGUAGAGAUCCGGAGGAACACCAGUGGCGAAGGCGGUCUCUGGGCCUUACCUGACGCUGAGGAGCGAAAGCGUGGGGAGCGAACG